rnacentral:rRNA from 1 species
GACGAACGCUGGCGGCAGGCCUAACACAUGCAAGUCGAACGAGUGGCGGACGGGUGAGUAAUGUCUGGGAAACUGCCUGAUGGAGGGGGAUAACUACUGGAAACGGUAGCUAAUACCUCAUACCAUCAGAUGUGCCCAGAUGGGAUUAGCUAGUAGGUGGGGUAACGGCUCACCUAGGCGACGAUCCCUAGCUGGUCUGAGAGGAUGACCAGCCAGCCUGGAAGUGAGACACGGUACAGACUGCUACGGGAGGCAGCAGUGGGGAAUAUUGCACAAUGGGCGCAAGACUGAGGCAGCCAUGCCGCGUGUAUGAAGAAGGCCUUCGGGUUGUAAAGUACUGUCAGCGGGGAGGCGUUACCCGCAGAAGAAGCACCGGCUAACUCCGUGCCAGCAGCCGCGGUAAUAC